UACGUAGGGUGCGAGCGUUAAUCGGAAUUACUGGGCGUAAAGCGUGCGCAGGCGGUUGUGCAAGACAGAUGUGAAAUCCCCGGGCUUAACCUGGGAAUUGCAUUUGUGACUGUACGGCUAGAGUGCGGCAGAGGGGGAUGGAAUUCCGCGUGUAGCAGUGAAAUGCGUAGAUAUGCGGAGGAACACCGAUGGCGAAGGCAAUCCCCUGGGCCUGCACUGACGCUCAUGCACGAAAGCGUGGGGAGCAAACAGG
rnacentral:rRNA from 1 species